AACGAACGCUGGCGGCAGGCCUAACACAUGCAAGUCGAACGCCCUAGCAAUAGGGAGUGGCAGACGGGUGAGUAACACGUGGGAACCUUCCCUAUAGUACGGAAUAGCUCAGGGAAACUUGAAGUAAUACCGUAUACGCCCGAGAGGGGAAAGAUUUAUCGCUAUAGGAUGGGCCCGCGUCGGAUUAGCUAGUUGGUGAGGUAAUGGCUCACCAAGGCGACGAUCCGUAGCUGGUUUGAGAGAACGACCAGCCACACUGGGACUGAGACACGGCCCAGACUCCUACGGGAGGCAGCAGUGGGGAAUAUUGGACAAUGGGCGCAAGCCUGAUCCAGCCAUGCCGCGUGAGUGAUGAAGGCCUUAGGGUUGUAAAGCUCUUUUAGCAGGGAAGAUAAUGACUGUACCUGCAGAAUAAGCUCCGGCUAACUUCGUGCCAGCAGCCGCG
rnacentral:rRNA from 1 species